rfam:Human herpesvirus 4 complete wild type genome
GUAUCCGUGUCCUGACAACAUUCCCCGCAAACAUGACAUGGGUUAAUUUAAACAUGUUUUGUUUGCUUGGGAAUGCUCUUAGGGCCUGGAAGC